rnacentral:sRNA from 1 species
UUUGGCUUGUCCAUCAUUAUCUAUUUACUGUGAACUGUAUUAUUACUUGACGCUUGAGGGAUGUUCCAAUGCUAUAAGGAUAGGCACUGGAAAUGUUAACCGAGUCAUAAUCAAGCUUAGGCUUGGUAUCCUAUUAUUAUUUACCAAAAGAAUUCAGAAUUAAUAUUGUAACAUAGACGUAAAAAAUCUAUAAAACAACUUUUAACAACGGAUCUCUUGGUUCUCGCAUCGAUGAAGAACGUAGCAAAGUGCGAUAACUAGUGUGAAUUGCAUAUUCAGUGAAUCAUCGAGUCUUUGAACGCAACUUGCGCUCAUUGGUAUUCCAAUGAGCACGCCUGUUUCAGUAUCAAAACAAACCCUCUAUCCAACUUUUGUUGAAUAGGAUGACUGAGAGUCUCUUGAUCUAUUCUGAUCUUGAACCUCUUGAAAUAUACAAAGGCCUGAUCUUGUUUGAAUGCCUGAACUUUUUUUUAAUAUAAAGAGAAGCUCUUGCGAUAAAACUGUGCUGGGGCCUCCCAAAUAACACCUUUCUUAAAAUUGAUUUGAAUUCAGGCGGGAUUACCCGCUGAACUUAAGCAUUUCAAUAAGCGGAGGAAAAGAAACUAACAAUGUUUUCCCUAGUAACGGCGAGUGAAGAGGAAAGAGCUCAAAGUUGGAACCUGUUUGGCUUAGCUAAACCGGAUUGUAAACUGUAGAAGUGUUUUCCAGACACGCCUGGUAAAAAAGUCCUUUGGAACAGGGCAUCAUAGAGGGUGAGAAUCCCGUCUUUGGCCAGAGCUGUUGUCUUUUGUGAUACAUUUUCAAAGAGUCAGGUUGUUUGGGAAUGCAGCCUAAAUUGGGUGGUAAAUCUCACCUAAAGCUAAAUAUUUGCGAGAGACCGAUAGCGAACAAGUACCGUGAGGGAAAGAUGAAAAGAACUUUGAAAAGAGAGUUAAACAGUAUGUGAAAUUGUUAAAAGGGAACCGUUUGGAGCCAGACUGGCUUGACUGUAAUCAAUCUAGGCUUCGGCCUGGAUGCACUUGCGGUUUAUGCCUGCCAACGACAAUUUUUUUUGAGGGAAAAAACUAUUAGGAAUGUGGCCCCCCUCGGGGGGUGUUAUAGCCUUUUAGAAAAUACCUUGAAUUGGAUUGAGGAACGCAGUGAAUGCCUUUUUAAGGCAAGAUUGCUGGGCGCUUUCGCUAAUAAAUGCUAGAAUUUCUGCUUUGGGUGGUGCUAGUGUUUAAAGGAGAAACUCGCUUGGUAUAUUUUUUAUUCGCUUAGGUUGUUGGCUUAAUGACUCUAAAUGACCCGUCUUGAAACACGGACCAAGGAGUCCACCAUUAGUGCGAGUAUUUGGGUGCCAAACCCAUAUGCGUAAGGAAACUGAUUGAUACGAAAUCCUUGAGAUGGCAGUAUCACCCGGCGAUGACGUUUUAUACUGAACCGACCGAGGUAAAGCACUAAUGAUGGGACCCGAAAGAUGGUGAACUAUGCCUGAAUAGGGUGAAGCCGGAGGAAACUCCGGUGGAGGCUCGUAGCGAUUCUGACGUGCAAAUCGA